GGUGCUUCUCCGAGACCUUCGUGGGGGCAAGACCUCGACGGCCCUGUCCACGCGUCUGUCGGCCGAGGCGAGGGCUGGCUCGAGGGAGGCCCCAGUGGACGUUGAGGUUGGUCGCCCUCGGAAGAAAGCGAAGACCUCGGCAAAAACCUCUGGGGGGUCAUCGGCCCAACCGGCGGGGGCUGUGGUUGUACCGACCGGACGGGCCGGGAAAAGCCUCGGGCGGGGCAAAGCCGGCACGAGUAGGGAUGUGGCGGGGAAAGCCCCUCGAGAGCCCUCUGUCUGCGAGCUUUGCCGCCUCCAAGCCCGGGGGGAGGACGAGCCCUACCAGGCGCGUGCGAUGGGCGAUCUUUCUCCGGGCAAGCCCUCCGACCCGCUGACAGCCCGUUGGGAAGGCCUUUCCCGGGGCAGCCGGGUGUGGGCCGAUAGGGAUUCCGCAACCGGGUUUAUCUGCGAAGGGCUCCAUCCCGACAUAGCUUGAGAUCUGUACACUCUGCCCUCGGAGGUUCUUCUUGUUAGGUCGGCUAAGUCGUUGCUAUGGGGCACCCACUAUGCCGCGGCGCUGAUGGAGCGCGUUCGCGAUGCGGGGUGAAUCAUCGACCUCCUGAGCGACCGCAAUGCCGACCUCCGGAAGCAGGUGGAGGAGGUCCGAGCCGGGGCGGCUCCUGAGGUGGUCGCGGCGGCCGAGCAAUGCACCUCGGAUUUGGACGCAGAGGCGACGCGCCUCCGGUCCGAGCUCAGGGCAUCCGAGGAGAAGAAUAAGGAGCUUUAGAUGCAUCUGAAGGUGUCGGUGGCCGAGGCUUGUUCGACAAGGGUGGAGUCGGUCGAGCUGAUCCGUCGGUUGGAGGAGUCGCGCGCCGAAGCGCGGGGGGCUAUCGAGGCCCUAUCCAUCGAGAUUCGCCAAAGGCCAGAAAAGGACAAGAAAUUGAUCGAGGACUAUAAAGCAUCCUCGGGCUUUCAGCUUGUCCUUGUUCGGACCGGGCGGGUUUCGUACGAGUAUGGGUACCGAAUUGCCCUUGCUCGCUUUAAGGCGCGCCACCCCGACCUGGAAGUCACGGAGGAUCCUUUCGACUCCUUCCCCGAGGACAUGGACGUCGACAUGCCGGACGAAGUCCCUUUUGACGACAGCCCCGACGCUCCAGAGGAAUAAUGUAGGCUCGUCUGUACAUGUUUUUCCUUUUUGUUGUUUGGGUGCGAAAUGUAAUGGAAGAAAAUGGUAUGACUGUUUUUAUUCUCA